UGAAGCAAAGAUGUCAGCUGUGAGAUUGGUAGCUGGUGGAGGAGGUAUUGAGUAGAGUUUUGAAGGUGGAAAAGAGUUCUCAGUGGCACUGUGGAUUGCAAAAGCCUUCUUUGCAGCAGUGGCACUGGAUGAGAAGGAGGACAUUAUUGACCAAAGAUUCUAGAGUGGAGCUCUGUUCUAGAAUCUUUGGUAUUGACUGGUAACUUGGAAGAUUGGUAGGUGUAUUAGUUUUGUGCCAUUUCCUCUCAGCAGCUCAUAGGCCAGUAAGCAGAGUUCAGAGGGUAUUGUUCAACCAUGGGUGUGUGACUGGUUAGGUCCAGCAGGUCUGGUGGAUAGAGGGCGCAGGCUCUCCAGACAGGAGCUUAGUGUAGAGCAGAGAGACUCUGUAGCAUCAUUAACCUCAAGAGAGGAGAAUGUGCUAGAAGGUGGAAGAGCAGAGGCUACUAAAAGAGAAAUGGACAGGAGAGGGGUUGCAGAGGUUGCAUCGAAAGGAGAUCAUGGGUGGAGGAACAGAAGACUGUUGAGAGUGAGAAUGAAAUCAAGCUCUCUGCCUGCUUGAUUGGCAGUUCCACAACCCAACAGAGAAGGAGGUCUGAGAGGCUGAGAAUGACCCAGAAUGACCAAGAAAAGCAUUGCCAGGAGAUGAGGGAAAAUGAUCAAGAAAGGAAUUGCCAGGAGAUCAGGGAAGUGAGUGAGAUUCCCACUGUCACCCCAGACAAUCAGGAAUCAAUGGAUUGACCACUUUGUUGGAUGCCAACGAGCAGCACCAGAAGACAGAGUUCCACCAAGCAGAUUGAAUUUAGCAGUAAAACUUACUAUGUAGAGACUUUUCCAGCACUUUCAGUCACAGUCCUGACUUUAAGAUCUUUAAGAGUAUCAAUAAUCAAUAAUCAAUAAAUCAGAGAUUCAGAAUCA